rnacentral:rRNA from 1 species
GAUGAACGCUGGCGGUAUGCUUAACACAUGCAAGUCGAACGGACUCUUCGGAGUUAGUGGCGGACGGGUGAGUAACGCGUGAGAAUCUGGCUUUGGGUUCGGGACAACCACUGGAAACGGUGGCUAAUACCGGAUUUGCCGAGAGGUAAAAGAGAAAUUGCCUGAAGAUGAGCUCGCGUCUGAUUAGCUAGUUGGUGAGGUAAAGGCUCACCAAGGCAGCGAUCAGUAGCUGGUCUGAGAGGAUGACCAGCCACACUGGGACUGAGACACGGCCCAGACUCCUACGGGAGGCAGCAGUGGGGAAUUUUCCGCAAUGGGCGAAAGCCUGACGGAGCAAUACCGCGUGAGGGAAGAAGGCUCUUGGGUUGUAAACCUCUUUUCUUAGGGAAGAACAAAAUGACGGUACCUAAGGAAUCAGCAUCGGCUAACUCCGUG